rnacentral:tRNA from 1 species
UUAAUUGAAACCAAAAAGAGGUAUACCACUGUUAAUGGUAUCAUUGAAUAUUUAAUUCCAAUUAAA